GUUCUCUUUAUUCGUUCUAUUUUUGUUGAGGCAAUUUCGGACCCUUGAACAAAUCUUGGAAGAAUGGGAAUCGUUGGAUGAAGAUUUUUGUCCAAAGUUUCUAUUUUUUUUUUUGUUUGUCAAAAGGGAUUUUCGGAUUUUGUUUUGGGGUCCACACAGUUUUGGGCGUUACUUGGAGAAGAGGAGAAGAAGAUUCAAGAGGGGCUAUAUAUUUGGGAUUUUCGGACAUAAAGGGAGAAAAAAAAGGUUCGGAAAGAAGCUAGGGUUGAAAAAAAAUUCUCCUUCUGUCUUCAUUUGGAAUUUUUCAGAUUUUUUGACUUAGUUUAAUUUCAAAAAUAUAAAUACAAACGAAAAAGAAAAAAAAAAUUAUGUUUCUCCUUCUGAUUUAGGAUUUUGGUUAUCACUAUGGAAUUUAGCUGAGUUGAGGUGCCGAUUUGAGUUGUCGUCCGUAGUCCGAGCUCGCAGUUCUCGCCUCACUCUUGCUUCUGUUGUUUGCAACUUUUGGUUCGAGUUCUCGCCGCUCUGUAAUUUUUGAAGAUUUGAAUAUACUGCAAAGCGAUUUCAGGUCCAUUUCCUUUCUCCUUAUCUUGUUGUUUGGUCUGAUUGUUAGUAUGAUAAGAGUUUUUGGUUUGAAAUGGGUUUAAUGGUUUAAAAUUCGAUGAAGUUUUUGCUAAAAAGGGAGAUGGACAUGAAAUGAUUUCAGUUGAGGCUAUUAAUUCUGAAUGAAGUAUAGAGUUCAUUGCUUGGUUUAAUGGUUUGCUUGAUGUUUUCUAUACCAAUAUUUCUUGUCUUUUCCUGUAUGAAUCUUAAUUAAACUAUUAGGUUUGGUUUAGAUUGUUUCACUUUCAUGUUCUGUUAGAAUUCAUGAGUGAUAUUUCUAUGUUAGUCUCAAAUGGCUCUUGCUAUAAAAUCCUCAUGAAGCAGCGCCAUUAGUUUUAAGUUUUAUGUUCUCAGAUUGACAAAAACAGGUUGAUUCAUAUGAUGUUAAUCUUGGGUUUUGAAUGAACUGUGAUUAAACUUGAAAUAUUCUGAUUAUUUAAGUUUAUGCCAAUCAUUUAGAAGACAUUAAGUUUGAAAUUGGAGCUAGUUUGUAUAAAAGGUUAAUCUAUUUUGGAAAAAUAUCAUGUUAAUGGUUAGAAACUGUUUGCUAUGUGAAAGCAGCGUGUUAAUGUCACUGUUGGUUGGAGUGAAUGGAAGUUUCCAAGAAAUGUAUCUCUAUCUUAACUCAAGUAUAAUAAUGUGAUUCAUGAAGGGUUAUUCACUUUUGUUCUUUUAUGAGUCAUUGGAGUGUAUCGUUUGUUCCAAAAAUGGAUAAUGAAUUGUGAAAGACUGUUGUUUCAGUGGCAGUGUACAUUGAUUUGUCUAGGGCUUUUGGAUUAG
rnacentral:lncRNA from 1 species